UUACCCACUCAUUGAUUGAUGGGCAUUUGGGUUGGUUCCACUAUUUUGCACUUGUGAAUUGUGCUGCUAUAAACAUGCGUGUGCAAGUAUCUUUUUCGUAUGACUUAUUUUCCUCUGGGUAGACACCCAGUAGUGGGAUUGCUGGAUCAAAUGGCAGUUCUACUUUUAGCUCUUUAAGGAAUCUCCACAGUGUUUUCCAUAGUGGCUGUAAUAGUUUACAUUCCCACCAGCAGUGUAGAAGUGUUCCCUGUUCACCGCAUCCCCGCCAACAUCUACUGUUUUUUUUUUUAUUUUUUGAUUAUAGCCAUUCUUGGAGGAGUAAGGUGGAAUUGCAUUGUGGUUUUGAUUUGCAUUUCCCUGAUAAAUAGUGAUGCUGAGCAUUUUUUCAUGUUUGUUGGCCAUUUGUAUAUCUUCUUUUGAGAAUUGUCUAUUCAUGUUCUUAGCCCACUUUCUGAUGGGAUUGUUUGUUUUUUCUUACUGAUUUGUUUGAGUUCGUUGUAGAUUCUGGAUAUUAGUCCUUUGUCAGAUGUAUAGAUUGUGAAGAUUUUCUCCCACUCUGUGGGUUGUCUGUUUACUCUGCUGACUGUUCCUUUUGCUGUGCAAAAGCUCUUUAGUUUAAUUAGGCCCCAGCUAUUUGUCUUUGUUUUUUUUUUUUGCAUUUGCUCUUUGGUUCUUGGUCAUGAAAUCCUUGCCCAAGCCAAUGUCUAGAAGAGUUUUUCCAAUGUUAUCUUCUAGAGUCUUUAUAGUUUCUGGUCUUAGGUUUAAUUCUUUAAUCCAUCUUGAGUUGAUUUUUGUAUAAGGUGAGAGAUGAGGAUCCAGUUUCAUUCUCCUACAUGUGGUUUGUCAAUUAUCCCAGAACCAUUUGUUGAAAAGGGUGUCCUUUCCCCACUUUGUGUUUUUGAUUGCUUUGUCGAAGAUCAGUUGGCUGUUAAAUAUUUGGGUUUAUUUCUGGAUUCUCUAUUCUGUUCCUUUGGUCUAUGUGCCUAUUUUACACCAGUACCAUGCUGUUUUGGUGACUAUGGACUUCACUUCUUGUAUCAUUUUUUGGAUUUCCUUGCAUUGGACUUCUCCUUUCUCUGGUCCCUCUCUGAUUAGCUGAAUAACUAACCGCCUGAAUUCUUUUUCAGGUGAAUCAGGGAUUUCUUCUUGGUUUGGAUCCAUUGCUGGUGAGUUAGUGUGAUUUUUGGGGGGGUGUUAAAGAGCCUUGUUUUGUCAUAUUACCAGAGCUGGUUUUCUGGUUCCUUCUCAUUUGGGUAUUCUCUAUCAGAGGGAAGUUCUAGGGCUCAAGGCUGUUAUUCAGAUUCUUUUGUCCCACGGGGUGUUUCUUUGAUGUAGUUAAUACUCUCCCCCUUUUCCUAUGGAUGUGGCUUCCUGUGAGCUGAGAUGCUGUGCUUAUUAACUCUCUUCUGGGUCUAACCACCCAGCACAUCUACCCGGCUUCAAGCUGGCAGUGGGGGUUGUCUGCACAGUGUCCUGUGAUGUGAACCAUCUGUGGGUCUCUCAGCCGUGGAUACCAGCACCUGUUCUGGUGGAGGUGGCAGGGGGGUGAAAAGGGCUCUGUGAGGGUUCUUAGCUUUGGUGGUUUAAUGUUCUAUUUUUGUGCUGGUUGGCCUCCUGAUGGGAGGUGGUGCUUUCCAGAGAGCAUCAGCUGUGGUAGUAUGGGGAGGAACAGGUGGUGGGCAGGGCCCCAGAACUCCCAAGAGUAUAUGCUCUUUGUCUUAAGGUACCAGAGUGGAUAGGGAAGGCCCAUCAGGUCGGGGCAGGGCUAGGCAUGUCUGAGCUCAGACUCUCCUUGGUUGGGUCUUGCUGUGGUUGCUGUGGGGGAUGGGGGUGAGGUUCCAGGUCAAUGGAGUGGUGAAUCUAGGAGGAUUAUGGCUGCCUCUGCUGAGUCAUGGAGGUUGUCAGGGAAGUAGGAGAGAGCCAGCAGUUACAGGCCUCAUCCAAUUCCAUGCAAUCUGAAGGGCUGGUCUGACUCCCACUGUGGCCCCACUAACAGCACCGAGUCUGUUUCCAGGCAGUGGGCGAGCAGGGCUGAGAACUCGCCCCAGGCUACCCACCGCCCCCUAGCUGCAAAAGCAAUUAGGGCUUUCAUUCUUCCCCAGCCUGUGGAGUCUGCACACCAGAUCUCACCCUCCCCUGAGUUCUGGCCAGGAGGCUUCUCGCCUGGUUCAAAUUGUUACAAAGUUCGGCUGGAGAAUUCCUUCUCCCUGUUGCAUUUCCCCCGCCCUGCACCUCCGGUCACCCCGCCAAAAGAUCCUUGUGUUGCCACGCAGGAAUGGGCUGCUUGGGGACCCAGCGAGCUCCCAGAGCCUUUCCCGCUGCUUCCUCUACCCCUGUAUUUCACUCUGCUCUCUAAAUUGACUCAGCUCCAGGUAAGGUUGGAAACUUCUCUCGAAAACUAGACCUUCAGUUUCCCCAGUGGGGGUGUGUGCUCGGGGGCAGAGGAUCUUCCUUUCCCAUUUCCACUGUUGGGGCACUCACAGUAUCCGGGGUGUCUCCCAGGUCCUGCAGCUGUCUGCUUCCUUCAGAGGGUCGGUGGGUCCUCUUGGGAUUCCUGGUUUGUUCUGGAUCUAAAAUUAAUGAUGUGAGCCUCCACACACUGCUCGGUCCAUCUGAGUCGGAGCUGCAAUCUAGUCCUGACUCCUGUCUGCCACGAUGAUCCACGAUGCUCUUUUUUUAAAAAAAAAAAAAAAAAAAAAGAAAAAUCUUUUUAGAGUAAGGGUCUUGUUCUGCCACCCAGGCUAAAAUGCAGUUGUAUGGUCAUCACUCACUGCAGCCUCAAAUUCCUGGACUCAAUUGAUCCUCCUGCCUCAGCCUCCCGAGUAGCUGGGACUACAGGUGCGCACCACCAUGCUCAGCUAAUAUUUAAAACUUUUAUUUAAUUUUUUCUUGUAGAGAUGGAGUCUCGCUAUGUUGCCCAGGCUGGUUUUGAACUCCUGGCUCAAGCCAUCUUCUCACCUUGGCCUCCCAAAUCACUGGGGUUGCAAGCAUGAGCCACUGCACCCAGUCAGGACGUUCUCACAUUAGUCCUUAUGGAUCAUAGUCUGCCCUUGAAAAUACUAAAAUUAUAGUCCUUUGAGAAGAGUUUCCAACUAUGGCUUUUCACUUUCACACACAUUGUCCCUACUCCCCUCCAGGCCCCGACACUGAUCUGAUUUUGUGAGGUUUAAGUGUACCUGUUUUUGAGCGUUUUGUAGCAUAUUGCUGGGAUGGAGUGGGAGGGUUGGAAGUGGUGAGCAACGUUUUCCUGCAGGUCAGCCAAAUCAGCCAAACUCAUGUUUACAGAUCGCUUAACAAAAGUCAAAGUGAAACCACCUCACUGGAUCCCUCAGAGAAAAGAAAUGCAGAUUUGUUUUACUUGGACAACCUAAUAUUUGAAUAAAAACAUCUCCGAAGUCCUUGCCCAGUCACUAAGAUGGCAAUGGCCAGGUCCGCGUGAAGCUGUCCCAGGCAACCUUCUGGGGCCUGUGCCUUGAGUAGACAGCUGGCCCUGAGCUCUUGGCCACUCGAGCCAUCUCCAGGACCCCCUUGGCAGGAACAUCCAGGAGUACACUCAAGCCCCAAGUUCUGUUGCAGAAAAGGCUCUGUGUGCUCUGUCAUCUCAGCUGCUGGGGCAUCUCCCAGGCUGUCAGGGGUCAGGGUUCCCCCAAGCCCAGGUGUGCCCAGGUCAGGCAUCUCUGGAAAGACCACAUGCUGGCUAUGGGUAGACACCCUGAGGGACUGGGCAUGCCCACGGGGGCCUGACUCUGCAGACUGGGUGCAUCUCCCUCUGGCUCCCACCCCAGGAGAAGGUUUCCAUGGAGUCGCAGCACUUUUCCUAGCAGGGGCAGGGGCUGGGGAAGGUCCGGCCCCACCUGGCUCAGGACAAUGCCUCUUGGUGACAACAUGGUCUUCGUGCUUGGUCCCCCCCACUUUUUUGUGACUGGUCCACAUUGGCUCAAAGAAGCUUCCCUCUCGUGGGAGAGACUUGGUGGAACAACACUGGAAAUAUGGGCAGGGGCAGGAGGGGAGGUAUAAAUUCCUUUACAAUUAAUUUUUUAAAUUCACCAAGUGCUGCUACAGAGUCGAUCUUAUGUAUCAACUCAGCAAACAGGUUCCAGGUGGGUAAAGGACACGUGGAUUCCCCAUGUGUGGGUGAGCCUGGUGCCCAGCCGCCCAUGUUCGCCAUGCUAGCCACGCGGCCUCCUCGUCCCGGCCCCUCCCCAUCCAUCUCCGGCUGCUCCCUGAGCCCACGCCUCCUCCAGGGCUGGCUCCCAGGGGUCUCUGCCCCAGCUACAGGGGUGGUGUUUCCCUAGUGUGAAACACGUGACACCCAGGGUUUCACACAUGGCUAUGUCGGUCUCCUCAGCUGUGUUGCAGGCAGAGGCAGUUCUCCUUUUGAGCCCUUCUCAGUGCCUGUGCACCCUGUGGGGGUCCAGCACAGCACCUGUGCCCUGGAUGCUCAAGGUAAGUGACAGUUCCCGCUCAUCCUGAGCAGCCUCAGGCCUUUCCGUGGCUGUGCUCAUCCAUAUCUGUCUCCGUGGCAUCAGCCUUUCUGUGCGUGUCCUUUGCCAGCUACAUUGCUCUUGGAAUGAGGCAGGGUGUAAACAACUGCAGUAAAUACAGAGGUUGCCUGGAGUCCUUGCUGAGGGACAGUGAGGUAGCAUUGUUUCCAGGCCUGCCUUGAGUGAGCCGACCAGGGUCCCAAGAGGAGGGAACGAGGAACGUGGGCUUUCUAGAGUUGGGGCGUCUGAGGGUGAGUCUGACUGUGGGGAAGGAUGAGGGUAGUAAGGGACAGGGGGCAUGCUAAGUCAGCAUGGCAGGACCUCCAGGGAGCCAGCAUGGCUCUGAGAUGGAUGAGGGUGGGGUGUGUUUGGCAAGUGAGAAUAGCAGCCUGGGUGGUCACGUGGCCAGAGCCCUGUGUGCCAAGGCUGCAGUGGCAGAAGCGAGGAAGCAGCCACCUACAUGGGAACGUGCGUCCUGUGCCAGGCUCGGAGCCCCGGGCUUCUUAUGCACUGCCCUUUACUCCCCACUGUGCCCGCGUGAGAUCAGGGAUGCCCCUGUCUCUAUCUGCAGGGAUUGGGGACUCCAUUGCCUGCCCAAGGUGGGGCAGCGAGGGAGCUGCUGGGUGGCCCUGUGGGCGCCUGCGGCUCCGCGGUGUCUUCUGGCCUCUGAAGCACUGCCGCAUCCAGGCCUGCUGUGCACUGACUACUGUGGAGGCGGCACUGUCCACAGGACAGCGGCAGUGACCGCAAAGGAAGAGAGGAGGAGGGUAAGGGCGGUUCCAUGGAGAAUGAGGACGUCAUGAUUAUUUAAGGAGAACAAAAAAUAUGUGGGCCACCUGCGAACACCCGUCCUUCAUCCACACGGCCGCUGCCCGUCCAUCCUUCCGUUUAGCAGGAGGGGCCUUGUGCUGGGUCUGGUGCCGGUGCCAGGGCCGGGGACGCUGGGGUGACAGCCCAGCCUUCAGGAAGGUCUUCGGUGGGAAUGGAGAAAGCCGGAGUCUUCACCAGUGAGCCGGCCCUGCUUCCCUUCACUCCCUGGGACAGAUACUCCGGGAAGCUGGGAUGAGCAGGGCUUUCCCCACGGCAGGCGUUCUCGUGUUUCAUGGGAUGGCGACAGAGUGGCAUCAGGGCAGAGAGGUUUGGCUGCAGCCAAGUGCAUUUGCAGCGUCCCUUACUUACUGUUCCCCGGCCGGGGUCUGGGCCCCUUGGUUUCAGGUGAUGAUGCACCUCCCGGAAAGUCCGGGUUUCUUGUCUAGAAAGGAGAGGCAGAGACCUGGCAAGCCAGUCUCCCCGAGGUCUCCCUUCUGUCCUGGUGUCUGGGGGCUCCCGGCACAGCCAAAGUGUGGCCUGUGGCCGCCACUGUCCUCCGAGGACCAGCCCUAGUGCAUGAAGAAGCCAGCUGCGGCCACGGUGGUCCUUGGGGUGGGCCCGGCUCCCCGAGGAGCUCCAUGUGCACCCACUGGGGCAGCUCCCAGCGCAUCCGUCUUCCCCAGCGAGGACGAUGAGGCAAUGCCUGUUCCAGGGACGUUUUCCACAGUAAAUCUGAGUCCGGCUCCGUGAGAUUGAAGUCCCUGGGAGUGAGGCUCUGGGGUGGCUUGACCGACUCCAGCAGAGUAAAUCCCCAGAGUGGAUGACGCCUUUCCAGCUGGAAACGGAGCAGGAUCUAACCAGGAAGAGGAAUGGCAACUACUCAGCCGGACUCAGCAGCGGGCAGGAGCCUCCGAGGGCACAGGUCAGGGCCAGGGCUCAGAGAGUGCCGUGGUGAUCGCUGAGGACAUCCUGGGGGCGAGAGGGCUGGUGAGGCUGGGCCGGGGCUCAGAGAGUGCCGUGGUGAUCGCUGAGGACAUCCUGGGGGCGAGAGGGCUGGUGAGGUUGGACGCAUCUGAGGCCGCAUUUGUUCAUUUAUUUAUGCUGGGCUUCAUUUCACUAAGGAUUCAACAUGGCUUAUAGAGAACACAGCAUAAAACAAAUAAAGGAGAGGGCACUAGGCCUAAAGGUUUUCAGCCAGAAGAGGCAGAGGUCAGAGGGGAAAUGCAGGAAAAACCCUCUUAUUCUCUUCUUUAUUAGAUGUCAGUGAUGACAAACGCAUCCGAAGCUUUUAAUAUGUCAGGCGCUGUUCUCAGCACUUUACGAACAUUCUCUGAUUUAAUCCUAAGAGGUCAAUGUCAUUCUCAUUUGACAGCAGAGGCACAGAGAGGCUCACACAGCUGCCCCAGGCCACACAGUGAGAGGGGUGGAGCCGGGGUUUCUGCCUAGCAGCUGUUGCUGGUCCCCACCACCUCCCCAGGGCGAGCUCCCUGGGCAGGAAGAAGUGCUUGGCCACAGGGUCCCACCCUUUCCAACCAAGUGACUCAUAGAAGAGCACCUCCUAAAUGUUGACAUGAAUGAGUGAGUCCAGGUCCUGCUUUGGAAUCAGGAUGUACUGAGUGGCUUUUGCUGAGAUGGUAGUGCGAUCAUUCUAACAGUGAUAGCUUCCAGCCGUUGAGGGCCUGCUGAGUACAGAAUUUUACAGAAGUGGAUUCUAUUAAUUUCCCCAACAGCCCUGGGAGGUGUGUACAAUUACAAUCCUUUGACCGCAAAGGAGACUGAGUCUCCGUGAGGUUAAUGAGGCGUUCCAGGUCAUGGAAUUGCGUGUGGCAGAGCUGGGAUCGUAUCUGGCAACUGUGUCUGUUCUCCUGCUGCUUCCCAGGACUGGGCCCGUGUCAAAGGGACCUUUCCUCCGUGGGCCUCAGGCCGUGUGCCACCAGGAAGGAAGGAUGUGGGGGAAUAGACCCAGCUCUGUGUGAAGGGCAGGCGGGUGGUGGCUGCCUGCAGGUGGCAGCCCAAGGGCCUGGUCCCAAAGGCCGGUGACACCUUCUCACCUGCAUCCGCUCCUCCAGCCCAGGCUGGCGGUGACUGCUCUGAUCACUACGUGCUGUGAAGGGCACGGUGCCAGCCUCUGAUCUGGGUCCUUGCUGCCAUAUGAAGACACCCACCUACCCUGCUGGAGAGGGGCUCUGGAGGGCCAGGGAGAGAGAGGAGAGCUGGGCUCCAGUCGGUGCCCCAUCCAGAGCCCACAGACAGGACAAAGCCAUCCCGGGCCCCCCAGCCCCUGUUGGCCAUCGCAGCACAUGCCACCUGCGCAAAGGUAAGCCCUGUCCGGGCUCCUGGCCUCAGGGUUGUGAGCAGUAGACCAGUUGUAUUAAGCCUCUGACUUUGCAGGGCUUCCUAAUGGAGACCAUUCACCGCCCGGUAAGUGACCUAGCGGAGAACACGCAGGCAGCUUCAGGACUGCUAGGGCUGGAGCCAGACAGGAUUGGGACGGGGUGGCUGAGUAGAGCAGUUCAGAACCCGCUAAGUGUGGGCUCAGAGGGGAGAACAGGUUGAAAGAUCCUAGAGGAGUGGCAGAAACGUCAGAGGAAUCAGAAAAGCACUUCCUAGGGCUCUUCUCCUACAGGAUCAAGGGAAAGGAGAAUUUGCCUUCAAACGGCUGUUUGUUUAAAAUAGGAAAGCAUAAAACCAGGCUCUGACAGGAGAAGAAACAGUGGCAAAUGAGCUCGGCCAAAUGCUUAAAAUGGUCCCAACCACAGGCUCCAGCCACAGACUAUGUGGGCCGAGAACCACGGGAAGGGGAUCCACUAGCUGCUGGGCACUGGAUUACAGGUCUUCAGGGGCGUGAGGGGAGCAAAGUGGAAGAAACCCACCAGCAUCACCACCUGUGUUCCUUUAGGUCAGGGUGCUGGGUCCAGUCCUGAUUUCAUCUUCUUACAAGUUAGGGAGCUGGGUCCAGGCCUGGAUCCAUGUUAUUAUGAAUCAGGGAGUUGGGUCCAGGCCUGGCUCCAUGUUCCUACAGGUCAGGGCUGGUCUUCUCCCGAGUGAUGGCUCCUGGACUGUGCUCCUCUGGGGCCCUCUCAACUCUGUGUCUGUCAUCUGUCACCUGCCUGGCCAUUAUGGUUUUGAUGGCAGUGGAUGGGCUCCAUGGGACUUCAGGCCUUGGGGGAGACUCAGGACCCUGGGGUGGGCAUGGAUGGGGAUAUUGGACCCCUGAAAGAAGGGAAGCUGGGAGACUUUUUUCCUUUAAAGACUUUUCCAUGUUAUCUCCACUCAGAGAAUUCUUUUCUGCAAAGUCACGGGAGGGAGGUGGCAUUGAGCCCUCCAAUGUGACAGAAACUGUGCUGGGAACUUUACAUGUGUUACCUAAUUUGUUUAAUUAUCCCAGCAACUCCACAAAGUAGGCAUUUUUAUUGUUGAGGAAACAGAAGCUUAGAGACUUUGUGAGACUUGCCGGAGACCCCAGGUCACACGCCAGCAAGGAUGAGGUCACGCUUUUAAUCCAGGUCUGCCUGGCUCCAAGUCCACACCCUUUCACGACAAUGAACUUUCUUUAUGAUUGCAGAUAUUAUUCGGGGAACUUUACAUAAAACAUUGACUUACAUAAAACUUCGACCGUAGACUAUAUUCUUUGUUUUGGAAACUGUGAAGACCCAAAUUUUUUAUAAACUCAGAACAGCUUCCAGUUUUCUCUAGAUCUCGGAAGAUGGGCUGUGUUUUUUGUCUGUUGUCCAGUGAGGCUGAUUUGUAGUUAGACAGGUGAGUCAGUUUGGUUGGAGUAGGCUAUUGUGGUUAUCUCUCAUCAGGAAAGAGGGGAUGCACUUGGCACCUCAACUCCAAGUUGGUGGUGCGAUGAUUUUUCCAUAUUCUCCCUUAACAGGCUGUGAGGGAGUCUGGGCCAGGCACUAGGCCAUGAGCAGGGCAGACCUGGGGUAAACCCUUAGCGAGCCUCUCUCCAGCCACGAGGAAACCUGGAGUGUGUGCGUGCCUGUGUGCUGCUGGUGUGUGUGUGUGAAUGCACGCGUGUGUGCAUGCACUGUGAGCUGGUGUGUGCGUGUGCACUGGUGUGUGCGUUCGUGUGUGUGUGUGCAUGUGUGUGCUGGGUGCACACAUGCAUAUGUCUCUGUGUAUACAUGUGUAUGUGUGCCAGUAGGUGCAUGUGUUUGUACAGUGUGCGUGUGUGUGUUUGUGCACACGAGCUGCUGCACACAUAUAAGCCUUGUGAAUUAGGGGAAGAAGAAAGGCUCCGGCUUACAGAAAAAAAAAGGAAAACUCCUACAGAGAUAAUUAUCAUUAAAAUGCCAAGGCUGUACUCGUGAGCUGCACUGCCUUCCCUGAAAGGGCCAGUCUGCUGCCUUUUCUUUUGCUCUCUCUUACGGCGACAGCCAAGCAAAUGGAGCUGUGUGGCCUGCUGGGGCUGGUGCCCGACUUCUGGCAAGGGGCAAGUUUGGUGGAAGCCAGAGCCGAGCUUUUCUCCUUGUUGACCUUGGCAAUACAGCCUCAGAUGCCCAUUUUCCUGGAGGAGCCGCAUGCAAUGCCCUUGUUAGCUGGCUGCAGCCUUUCACCGCAGUCCCCAGACACUACUCAGGGCACUGAGCUGUUGGAUGCUGCUCCCAUGGGGAUGCUGGCUGGGACCCAUUCUCAGGGCUAUCUGCCAGGUAGAGACGUGCUUGUUGCUGUCCUUGUUUACCAAGAAGAAAGCAGAGGCAUAAACCAGCAAGGCCGUGGAGUCUGGGAGGGGUGGGGUUGCCCCCGACAGCCUCCAGGCUUCUCCCAAGUAAGCGCUGUCCUUGGGGUGUGUGCCCAGGGUGAGGCGUGUGCACACAUGUGCGUGUGUGUGCGUGUGAGAGGCAGCGUUGUCUGUGGGAUGGUGGGGGAUCUGGACUCUGCUCCACCGUCAUCGGGUCAUCUGGCAGAGAGCCUGCCACCCCGCCUGGGAGCAGGGAGAAUGUGGCAGUGCCACCCCACCUGGGAGCAGGGAGAAUGUGGCAAUGCCACCCCGCCUGGGAGCAGGGAGAAUGUGGUGGUGCGUUCGGAUGGAGGAGGGGGGUGUUUUCUAAGACAUCUCUUCAGCCAGUGCUGACAUCCCCAGGUGGCCACAGAUUUGCUCAGGGACCCAUAUGUCUCCUUGUCUUUGAAAAUCUGCUUUUGUUUGAUGGCUCUAGGAGAGGAAGAAUGAACUUGCUUGAGGCUGUGUGGCCCAGCCUCUCCCCUGGGACCCAUGAGUCCCUGACCCAAGAAAGCGUCCCUGUGCAGGGCUGGGCACAGAGGUUCCCUGGAGAGGCCCAAUGCUCUCCUUCUGCAGCGGGGACAGGAAUGAGUCCUGUCUUAGUCAUGCCUCUGCCUCCCUCCUGAGACCUGAGAGUGGGGCCCACCUGCAGGCCCAGAUGCCCUCUGUGGGAGCUCUGCACGCGGGCCCAUUCGGGGCAGCCUUCAUGCCAGCUUCCUGCAACCUUCUUUGCUUCUUUUUUCACCUAUAACUUUCACCCUCUCAAGAGGGUGUCGCAUGAGCAGUUCUGAGUUAGACUGUCGUGGUUUUCGAGCUUCUAAUCUAAACAAGGUCCUCUGGAUGAGUCCCUCUGAAGGAGGAGCCUCUUACAGGGGUUCACACAGAGCUGAGAACCCCAGAAACCACAGGAGUGUGGGGUAGUAGAGGAAGGCAGUGUUCUUGGAUGUUUAAAUAAAUCUGUAACUUACUGUUGACUAGACCUAGUGUGUCAUGGUGUGUAAAAUUACUUAGGUAAUGAUUUUGCCAUGUCUUACAAGAAUUAGAGACAAUGAUGACAGCAACAACAAUCACAAACCACAACUAUUGCAGUGGCUAUGCACCAGGAACCAGGGAUGCAGAGGUGACUGAGGCGCAUCCCUGCCCACAGGGAGCUUGCAGUCUAAAGGGGAAGACAGCAUGCACACAUGACUAUAACAGAGUUCUUUAGACAACGUGUGGCAGGCACCUUCGGGCUGCUCUCAGGCACGUUACUUCAACAGCCACCAUGGGGUCCCAGUGAAAGAGGAGGCCAUGCCACCAUCCAGGGCAGACGAGGUAGCUCAGCAAGGCAGAGACAGCAGGGUGGGUGCAGGACGGUCUGGGUUAGCAGGACAUCUCUGAGAACGGAUCUGGUGUUUGCAGUGGGAAGGGAGGGGUGCAAUAUGGCUUCUGAUGGAGGUUUCUAGCUUGGAGGACUAAACGAUGUAGGAAACUCAAAAGGAGAUUAACAUUGGUGAAGAUGAUUCCAUGUCUAUCAGCAUUGAUUGAGGGGCUGUGGGAGUGGACAUUGGUGAUAAUGAUUCCAUGUCUAUCAACAUUGAUUGAGGGGCUGUGGGACUGGACACUGGUGAUAAUGAUUCCAUGUCUAUCAGCAUUGACUGAGGGGCUGUGGGAGUGGACAUUGGUGAUAAUGAUUCCAUGUCUAUCAACAUUGAUUGAGGGGCUUUGGGAGAUGAACAUUGGUGAGUGUGAUUCCAUGUCUAUCAGCAUUGAUUGAGGGGCUGUGGGACUGGACACUGGUGAUAAUGAUUCCAUGUCUAUCAGCACUGAUUGAGGGGCUGUGGGAGUGGAUGUUGGUGAUAAUGAUUCCAUGUCUACCAGCAUUGAUUGAGGGGCUGUGGGAGUGGACAUUGGUGAAGAUGAUUCCAUGUCUAUCAGCAUUGAUUGAGGGGCUGUGGGAGUGGACAUUGGUGAUAAUGAUUCCAUGUCUAUCAACAUUGAUUGAGGGGCUUUGGGAGAUGAACAUUGGUGAGUGUGAUUCCAUGUCUAUCAGCAUUGAUUGAGGGGCUGUGGGAGAUGAACAUUGGUGAGUGUGAUUCCAUGUCUAUCAGCAUUGAUUGAGGGGCUGUGGGACUGGACACUGGUGAUAAUGAUUCCAUGUCUACCAGCAUUGAUUGAGGGGCUGUGGGAGUGGACAUUGGUGAGGGUGAUUCCAUGUCUAUCAGCAUUGAUUGAGGGGCUGUGGGACUGGACACUGGUGAUAAUGAUUCCAUGUCUACCCGCAUUGAUUGAGGGGCUGUGGGAGUGGACAUUGGUGAAGAUGAUUCCAUGUCUAUCAGCAUUGAUUGAGGGGCUGUGGGAGUGGACAUUGGUGAUAAUGAUUCCAUGUCUAUCAACAUUGAUUGAGGGGCUUUGGGAGAUGAACAUUGGUGAGUGUGAUUCCAUGUCUAUCAGCAUUGAUUGAGGGGCUGUGGGAGAUGAACAUUGGUGAGUGUGAUUCCAUGUCUAUCAGCAUUGAUUGAGGGGCUGUGGGACUGGACACUGGUGAUAAUGAUUCCAUGUCUACCAGCAUUGAUUGAGGGGCUGUGGGAGUGGACAUUGGUGAGGGUGAUUCCAUGUCUAUCAUCAUUGAUUGAGGGGCUGUGGGAGUGGACAUUGGUGAUAAUGAUUCCAUGUCUAUCAGCAUUGAUUGAGGGGCUGUGGGAGUGAACAUUGGUGAAUGUGAUUCCAUGUCUAUCAGCAUUGAUUGAGGGGCUGUGGGAGUGGACAUUGGUGAGGGCGAUUCCAUGUCUAUCAGCAUUGAUUGAGGGGCUGUGGGAGUGAACAUUGGUGAGGGCGAUUCCAUGUCUAUCAGCAUUCAUUGAGGGCUGUGGGAGUGGCUGUUGGUGAUUAUGAUUCCAUGUCUACCAGCAUUGAUUGAGGGGCUGUGGGAGUGGACGUUGGCGAUAAUGAUUCCAUGUCUAUCAGCAUUGAUUGAGGGCUGUGGGAGUGAAAAUUUGUGAUAAUGAUUUCAUGUCUAUUGGCAUUGAUUGAGGGGCUGUGGGAGUAGAUGUUGGUGAUAGUGAUUCCAUGUCUAUCAGCAUUGAUUGAGGGGCUGUGGGAGUGAACAUUGGUGAAGACUAUUCUAUGUCUAUCAGCAUUGAUUGAGGGCUGUGGGAGUGGACAUUGGUGAUAAUGAUUCCAUGUCUAUCAGCAUUGAUUGAGGGGCUUUGGGAGAUGAACAUUGGUGAGGGCGAUUCCAUGUCUAUCAGCAUUGAUUGAGGGGCUGUGGGAGUGAACAUUGGUGAGGGCAAUUCCAUGUCUAUCAGCAUUGAUUGAGGGGCUUUGGGAGAUGAACAUUGGUGAGGGCGAUUCCAUGUCUAUCAGCAUUGAUUGAGGGGCUGUGGGAGUGAACAUUGGUGAGGGCGAUUCCAUGUCUAUCAGCAUUGAUUGAGGGGCUGUGGGAGUGAACAUUGGUGAGGGCAAUUCCAUGUCUACCAGCAUUGAUUGAGGGGCUGUAGGAGUGGACGUUGGCGAUAAUGAUUCCAUGUCUAUCAGCAUUGAUUGAGGGCUGUGGGAGUGAAAAUUGGUGAUAAUGAUUUCAUGUCUAUCGGCAUUGAUUGAGGGGCUGUGGGAGUAGAUGUUGGUGAUAAUGAUUCCAUGUCUAUCAGCAUUGAUUGAGGGGCUGUGGGAGUCAUUGGUGAAGACUAUUCUAUGUCUAUCAGCAUUGAUUGAGGGCUGUGUGAGUGGACAUUGGUGAUAAUGAUUCCAUGUCUAUCAGCAUUGAUUGAGGGGCUUUGGGAGAUGAACAUUGGUGAGGGCGAUUCCAUGUCUAUCAGCACUGAUUGAGGGGCUGUGGGAGUGGAUGUUGGUGAUAAUGAUUCCAUAUCUACCAGCAUUGAUUGAGGGGCUGUGGGAGUGGAUGUUGGUGAUAAUGAUUCCAUAUCUAUCAGCAUUGAUUGAGGGCUGUGGGAGUGGACACUGGUGAUAAUGAUUCCAUGUCUAUCAGCAUUGAUUGAGGGCUGUGGGAGUGGUCAUUGGUGAUAAUGAUUCCAUGUCUAUCAGCAUUGAUUGAGGGGCUUUGGGAGAUGAACAUUGGUGAGGGUGAUUCCAUGUCUAUCAGCAUUGAUUGAGGGGCUGUGGGAGUGGACAUUGGUGAUAAUGAUUCCAUGUCUAUCAGCAUUGAUUGAGGGGCUGUGGGAGUGGACAUUGGUGAUAAUGAUUCCAUGUCUAUCGGCAUUGAUUGAGGGGCUGUGGGAGUGGACAUUGGUGAUAAUGAUUCCAUGUCUAUCGGCAUUGAUUGAGGGGCUGUGGGAGUGGACGUUGGUGAUAAUGAUUCCAUGUCUAUCGGCAUUGAUUGAGGGGCUGUGGGAGUGGACGUUGGUGAUAAUGAUUCCAUGUCUAUCGGCAUUGAUUGAGGGGCUGUGGGAGCGGACGUUGGUGAUAAUGAUUCCAUGUCUAUCGGCAUUGAUUGAGGGGCUGUGGGAGUGGACGUUGGUUAUAAUGAUUCCAUGUCUACCAGCAUUGAUUGAGGGCUGUGGAAAUGGACAUUGGUGAUAAUAAUUCCAUGUCUAUCAGCAUUGAUUGAGGGGCUGUGGGAGUGGACAUUGGUGAUAAUGAUUCCGUGUCUAUCAGCAUUGAUUGAGGGGCUGUGGGAGUGGUAGUCUGUGGGUGGAAAUGGUAUCUAGAUGUCUAGAGGGAGGACGUGAGCCAUGACCUGGAGACUGCAGCUUCUCUCCGUCACCCACAGUCUGCAUUUCAGGGCCUCCUCAGGAUGGUGAGAGUAGGAACUCUUCUCAACUUCGGAGCCCGUCCCUAAGACUUUGUCCAUGGGAAAUGUGCCUGGUAGCCCCCAUAAUUUAUGGAGAAAGAGGUUUUCUUUGCAUGAAGUUUGCAUUGUAGAAUGGAGAAAGAGAAAACACUCUUUAUUUGAUUUUUCUUUUUAUUGUUGUUCUUCACUAACUACGGUGAUGCUUGGGGAGGGGAAAAUUUGUCUGUGUAAAUGAUCCUUCACGAAGGAGGAGGAUUUCACAGCAGGAGGCAGAUUCUUUGAGAGGGGACUUCAGAGAUAUUUGAAUAACAGGAGCUGUGUCGAGAGCAAGACUGGAAAGCUCUGUCAUCAAAGCGAAUCUGGAAAUUGAUCAAGGCACUGCCAGCUGCGGGUUGGCGAAGGGAAGACAACUGCGAGGCUGGCAGGAUUCAGCCUCCUUUGUUCUCACGAUGGACAUAAUCUCACGAAGAAGGAGUGAUUAUGGAGUAAUCACUUGGGGAGUGAUUUUGGAGUAAUCAUUAUUGAUGAGGUGCAGUUUUGAAGGUAAAACUAGACAAAAAGCUCGAAGUUCUUGAACUCAUAACUUAAAUCUGUUUAGAAAUCCUAGAUAAGGAUUUCCCAGAGUUUCUUAGUUUAUGAGGGUUUUUCCUUUGUGAAGUGUAUCUCAUUAUCAUCUUAAAAGUGUUGAGGGCGUCGCCUCACAGGGAGCUCAACCUUCGUUUUUGGUGCUGUUACUGUUCCUUUCAUUUUCUCACUUUCCUAGGAAUUCAACGCAUCAAACUUCUGUUUGGAGGCAGAAAUUCCUUCAACACUGUCUCAAGGGGCUUAUCCGAGGUGCCUCCUGGACACUCUUGAUGAGGCACUGCUAUCUCCUGGGUGUGGUAGUCAGGAGCGCAGGCUUGAAGACCUUUGCUUUUGACCUUGAAUGUAGCUUUGCCACUUUGAGCCAGAAAGUGAAGUCUCAAUUUCCUCAUCUGUAAAAUAGGGGUAAUAAUGAUGAAAUGAAAUUAAUUUAAUUGAUGCAUGUAAAGUUCUUCAUACUAUUCCUACUGUAUAACAGACACUCUGAGAAACACACCGUCUUUCUUGUUUCCCCCACCCUGAUCUAUCAGCGUGCUUUUGCUCGGGGCGUGCUGUCUGAAAGACAGUCCUACACCUGAAUCUUCAUGGCCUGACCUUGCCAAAGGAAGUUCAUAAAAGAGAGAUGAAGAGGGAAAUGAAGACACCUGCUGAUACCACAUGCAUUGACAUAUUCAUGGGCUUCUCAGUGAGCGGGGACCAGUUUCUCAUCAUAUUCCUCAUUUCAGCUGAUGGUGUGAACUUGGCUCUAUCUUUUUUCUCUUCUCUCAUAAAAGAUGCAUUUUGUGGGACAGCCAAAAAAGAAAGAGAGAAAGAAAUGAUCAUUCUUCACUGAUCAUUUUCUUCAUAGAAGCCUGAGGCUGCUACAAGGCUCGCAUGUCUUCCGGGGCUCUUUCUGACCCUAUGGGAUGUUUGGGGUCCAUGACCUCAGCCCCUGCGUGCUGAGCGGCUGCCUAUCCUCUGAGGAGACCCGAGGUUGCUCUGCUCACACUGGAGAGGUGGUACCAAGCAGGCAUCUGCAGGAAACCCGAGGAAACUGUGGAGUCCACCUCACAAGUUGGGAUCCUGUAGUUCUCCCAGAUCUGGACACAUGCAGGAUGCAUGUGUGGUACCAACUCCAGGCGUGGCCACACUGGGGGAAGCGUGAGGGAGUGCAGGAGGUUGGUGUCUCAUGGCUGUUCACAGUUGAUGGCGUACGUUUGCGAAUGUGUGCCAAUGUGUGUUUGCAUGUGUGUGAAUGUGCAUGUGUGUGGCAUGCUGUGUGGCGUGUGUGAGUGAAUUCAUGCAUUUGAUUAUGUGCAUGUGUGAAUUCAUGUGUGUGAAUGAGCAUGUGUGUUGUGAAUAUAUAUGUGUGAAUGUGGGUGCCUGUGUGUGUGCGAAUGUGCAUGUGUGUGGCACGAUAUGUGGUAUGUGUGAGUGAAUGCAUGUGUAUGUAACUGUGAGGGUGUGUCUGUGAAUGUGUGCAUGUGUGUGCAUAUGUAAAUGUGUGUGAAUGUGUGUGUUACUGUGUGACUGUGUAUGACUGAAUGUGAAUGUGUGCAUGUGUGUAGAUGUGUGUGUGACUGUGUGAAUGUACGUGUGUUAAUGUGGCUCUGUGUGCAUGUGUGUGACUGUGUCUAUGUGCAUGUGUGUGAAUGUGUGUGUGACUGAGUGUGAGUGUGAAUGUGCAUGUGUGUGCAUGUGUGUGACCAUGUGUGACUGUGAGAGUGUAUGUAUGAAUGGGUGUGUGACUGUGUCCGUGUGUGAAUGUAUGAGUGUGUAUGUAUGAGAAUGUGCAUGUAUGUGAAUGUGUUUAUGUUACUGUGUUGCUGUGUAUGACUCUGUGAAUGUGUUAAUGUGUGCAUGUGUGUAGAUUGUGGCUGUGACUGUGUGAAUGUACAUGUGUGUUAAUGUGGCUGUGUGCAUGUGUGUGACUGUGUCUAUGUGCAUGUGUGUGUGACCGUGUGACUGUGAGCGUGUGAAUGUGUGUGGCUGUGUGUGACUGAGAGUGUGUGAAUAUGCAUGUGUGUGAAUGUGUGUGGCUGAGUUGAAUGUGAGAGUGCACGUGUGAGUGUGUAUGUGUGUGUAUAUGUACGUAUGUGAAUGUGCAUGUGUGUGCAUGCAUGUGAUUGUGACUGAGAAUGCAUGUGUGCAUGUGUGUGUGUGAAUGUGCAUGUGUGUGAAUGUGUGUGAGACUGUGAUUGUGUGUGAAUGUGUGUGUGAAUGUGUGUGGCUGUGUGUGAGACUGUGAUUGUGAAUGUGUGUGUGAAUGUGUGUGACUGUGACAGUGUGCAUGUGUGUGGCUGAGUGUGACUGUGAGCAUGCAUGCGUGAAUGUGUAUGUGUGUGCAUGUGUAGGGGGUGUCAUGGACAGGGGAUUCCUUCUGCUCAGCCUCAGGGUAUUAGAUUUGGACUUUUGGUCUCAUCUUCAAAUGAAGGUCUCUGUCCUGCAUGCUGGUCCUCUCUUCCCUCUGUCCUGUGGGCGUGGCUCCUGCCCUUGGUAGAAUUUGCACAGCACCCACUCUUUCUGUUGAUUUCGGGCUCCCCAUGAAAGUCAUUCACUCUCUCCUAGGAAAGAACUGAGUUUUAAAAGGUCACACAUGUGUGUGUCAGUCUGAGCCGUUCUGGGUUAGUCAUCAAGGAGAAUUGAAUGAUAUGAGAUCAAGCUGCAGGAGGGGCACCAAGGACCUGGAACCUGCAUUUAUUUUGGUGUCAUAUUUAAAAUGCUAGUUCUCAGGGGAUGGUGCAUUUUUAUUUCUCAAGUUUUCAUAAAGAAACAAAAAUAGAAAAAAAAGAAGUAUAACUUGUAGCUUGAUUUGCGUUUGUUUGGUAAAAUAUCCUGAUUUAGUUCACAAGAAAUAUUCACGGUAAAAGCAAAGGAAAGCGCCCCCAGUGAAUAUUAAUGGAUGUUUGCAUGCAUAGCAACUAAGCCUUUGUCCUCGGAUCCGUCCGUCUCAAAAUGGGUGGGAGCCACGGGGAGAAGACAGGAAGACAAAAGAGGAAUAAAGCUGAUUGCAUUACCUGGACAAAAUUCAAUCAAUGUGCAGCUUCAAUACUGGCUGCUGCAUUCAGAUUGCUGCUGUUAAAAAACAGCCGUGGCCAGGCGCGGUGGCUCAUGCCUGUAAUCCCAGCACUUUGGGAGGCCGAGGCGGGCAGAUCACGAGGUCAGGAGAUCGAGAUCAUCCCGGCCAGCAUGGUGAAACGCAGUCUCUACUAAAAAUACAAAAAUUAGCCUGGUGUGGUGGUGCGUGCCUGUAAUCCCAGCUACUUGGGAGGCUGAGGCAGAAGAAUUGCUUGAACCAGGAAGUCGGAGGUUGCAGUGGGCCGAGAUUGCACCACUGCACUCCAGUCUGGCAACAGGGUGAGACUCCAUCUCAAAACAACAACAACGACAACAGCAACAACAACAAACCCAGCCUUAUGGGGAUAUAAUUUACAUGCCAUAAAAGUCACCUGUUUUAAGUGUACAGUUCAAUGAACUUUAGGCUGUUUAAAGAGGGCACAACCAUCACCACCCUCUAAUUUUGGGACCUGCAGUCACCCUGUGAUGACGCCUCAUUCUGACACCCAGUCCUAGGUAAUUAUUAUUAGUUUUGAGACAGAGUCUCCCUCUGUCGCCCAGGCUGGAGUGCAGUGGGUUAAUCAUGGUUCACUGCAGCCUUGACCUCGCUGGGCUCAGGUGAUCCUCCUGCCUCAGCCCCCCUAGUAGCUGGGACCAUAGGCAGGCACACCCCACCACGCCCAGCUAAUUUUUAUAUUUUUUGUAGAUGUGAGGUUGCCCAGGCUGGUUUCAAACUCCUUUCUUGGCCUCCCCAAAGUGCUGGGAUUACAGAUGUGAGCCACAGCACCUAGCUCUUAGGUAAUUACUAAUCCAUGUUUGGUCUCUCGUGAUUUGUUUGUUUUUUUUUUUUUUUUUGAUACUUGAAAUAAAGUAAAUGACCCACUAUGUCUUCUUUUGUGUCUGCUUCUUUCAGAUAAUGCAGUGUUUUCAAGGUUUAUCCAUGUGGUAGUGGAUGUCAGCAUUUCCUUCUUUUUUAUAGUCAAUUAAUGUUCCAUUUCAUAGAUAUACCACAUCCUGUUUACCACAUCACCACUUGAUGGCCAUUUGGAUUGUUUUCACUUUUUGGCUGUUGUGAAUAAUGCUACUAUGGACAUCUGUGUGUGAGAGUCUGUCUGGACAUACACCUUCAUUUCUCAUGAGCACAUACCUAGGAGCUGAACUGCUGAGUCAUGUGGUAGCUAUGCUGAAAAUCAUUUUGAUCCAGCAGUCCCACUACUGGGUGUCUACCCAGAGGAAAAGAAGUCAUCAUACGAAAAAGAUACUUGCACACGCAUGUUUACAGCAGCACAAUUCGCAGUUGCAAAAUAGUGGAGACAGCCCAAAUGCCCAUCAAUCAACGAGUGGAUAAAGAAACUAUGUAUGUAUAUAUACAUAUAUAUAUACACACACACACAUAUAUAUACAUAUACAUAUAUAUACAUAUAUACACAUGUAUACAGAUACAUAUACAUAUAUAUAUAUAUUUAUGAUGGAAUACUACUCAGCCAUAAAAAGGAAUGAAUUAACGGCAUUUGCAGAGACCUGGAUGAGAUUGGAGACUAUUAUUCUAAGUGAAGUAACUCAGGAAUGGAAAACCAAACAUUGUAUGUUCUCACUCAUAAGUGGGAGCCAAGCUAUGAGGAUGUAAAGGCAUAACAAGGAUACGAUGGACUUAGGGGACUUGUGGGGGAAAUGGUGAGAUGGGGAUGAGGGAUAAAAGACUACAAAUUGGGUUCAGUGUUUACUGCUUCGAUGAUGGAUGCAUCAGAAUCUCACAAAUCACCACCAAAGAACUUACUCGGCUGGGCGUGGUGGUUCAUGCCUGUAAUCCCAGCACUUUGGGAGGCAGAGGUGGGCAGAUAACCUGAGAUCAGGAGUUCGAGACCAGCUUGGCAAACAUCGUGAAACCCUAUCUCUACUAAAAAUACAAAAAUUAGCCAGGCAUGGUGGCAGGCGCCUGUAAUCCCAGCUACUCAGGAGGCUGAGACAGGAGAAUCACUUGAACCUAGGAGGCAGAGAUUGCAGUGAGCCGAGAUCAUGCUGCUGAACUCCAGCCUGGGUGACAGAGCAAGACUAUGUCUCAAAAAAAAAAAAAAAAGAUUAAAAACUUACUCAUGUAACCAAAUACCACCUGUUCCCCCAAAACUGAUGGAAAUAAAAAGUUAAAAAAAUAAAAAUAAAAUUAUUGUCAUGAAGAAAAUGUGCCAGACUGUUUUCCAAAGUGGCAGUGCCAUUUUACAUUCCCACCAGUAGCAUAUGAGGGUUCCAGUUUCCCGUUGUCCUUGCCAACACUUGCUGUUUUCCUCUUUUUUUGCUAAUAGCCAUCCGAGUGGGUGUGAAGUGGAGUUUCUCCGUUAUUGGAUUUGCCUUUCCCUGAUGGCUAAUGAUGUCAAGAAUCUUCUCGUGUGCUUGUUGGCCAUCGGUGAUGAUGUUGAGCACCUUCUCGUGCUUGUUGGCCAUCAGUGAUUAUGUCGAAUAUCUUCUCGUGUGCUUGUUGGCCAUUGGUGAUGAUGUCGAGCACCUUCUCGUGUGCUUGUUGGCCAUCGGUGAUGAUGUCAAGCAUCUUCUUGUGUGCUUGUUGGCCAUCGGUGAUGAUGUCGGCACCUUGUGCUUCUUGGCCAUCGGUGAUGAUGUCGAGCGUCUUCUCAUGUGCUUCUUGGCCAUCGCUAUGCCCUCCCUGGACAGGUUUUCUUUUUUAAAGUUCCCUGAACAUGGUGCCCUUCACGCCCCGCUGUGGUUGCAUUUUUCCAUCUGGCUGUGAAGUGCAGAAGCUGCCACUGUGCCUCAGCGGGCUCCUUUGUCACCAACUGCCCCGUGGCAGCUGCCAGCAGGAAGGGAGCUGGUGGUGGAGUCAUCCCGGCAGGGUGUCCAGCUGGCCACUGGGAGCUGGCAGCAGAUUGGGCACUGCUGGCUUGGCUGUUACCUUCCCUCCCACCUGGGCCACUUAAUGGUAUUGGACAGCAACUAACAACCUUAUAGCUCCUGCUCAAAAAGUGACUUUCCACAUGGGAUGCCACAUGCUUUUCUCAGUAGGCUGUAAGCUAAUGGUGACUCUCACCCAUUUUUUGCAGAAGGAACCUGAAGCUUGUCCAAAGUUGCUCAACAACCUGACCAUACCUGGCUUUCUUUUUCUGGUACAUACUUUUAUUGUGGCAUAAUAUACAUAACAUAUGAUUUUCCAUUUUGACUUUUUUAAGCAUACAGUUCAGUGGCAUUAAGCAUGUUCAUGGUGCUGUGCAACCAUUGCAACUAUCCAUUUCCAGGGCUUUUUCAUCUUGCAAAAUUGGAACUCUGUCCCCACUCAACACUAAGUCCUCAUGCUUCCCCCUCCCCCAGCCCCUGGCACCCACCCUUCCACUUUCUGUCUCUAUGAAUCUGAGUAUGUGGGUACUGCAUGUAAGUGGAAUCACACAGUAUUUGUCCUUUGGGGUCUGGUUUAUUUCACUUAGCAUGAUGUCCUCAAGCUUCAUCCCUGGUGUAGCACAUGUCAGAUUUCCCUUCCUUUUCUGAAGCUGAAUAAUAUUCCACUGUGUGUCUAUGCCACGUGUUGCUUAUCUGUUCACACACUGACGACACUUGGGCCGUCGACACCUUUUGGCUGUUGUUAAUAUGUUGCUGUGAACGCGGAGUGCAGAUGUCUGAGACCCUGAUUUCAGUUCUCUUUCAAAAAUUCCCAGAAGUGGGAUUGGUGAUCAGAACAACACUCAUGUUUGGUUUUUGAGGAGCCGCGAUACUGUUUUCCAUGGUGACACAGUUUCACAUUCCCACCAGCAAUGCAGGAAGGAUCCAGACACAACUUCCUUCUUAGAAGUGGAAAGAAAAGAUAGAAAUGGGCCACAGCUCAGGACCUCAGGAUUUCAGGAUUCGCCGUUUGAGCUCAGCUAUGUGAGCUCAGGGAUUCUGCCGAGGACAGUGGGACUCUGAGGGCAAGGGGACACCAGUGUGGCUGGUGAGUGUCAUGGGUGCCCUUGGAUAACAAAGCAGCAGGUGUGUGAGAGGGAGUGGCACUGCCAUGCUGUAGCCAAUGACAGGUCAGCUCUGACCCAUCGCUUUGUGAUGGGAAGUUCACUCCCUCGUGGUCAGCGGAUGUCACUGAUUAGCUGCCCAAUUGUUACCUCCCCACUUUCCCUUCCAAAGAGACGGCAGUUCUGCUCAGGUGGGUGGGAUGGUAGGACCAGGUGUGCCCAUUCACGGGAUGAUCGGCCAGGCCCUGAGGGUCCCCUGACCCUGCUUCCUCCCUGCACAGGGACAGGUGCUUCCACUCUUCCACUCCCCUCUGGGCCGGGGGGCCAUGUGAAGUGUGAGGGUGGGGUGUGGAUUUGCGGGGUUGGAGUGGAAUCCAGGAUCUGCCUGGGGCAUACUCUUCACAGCCUGGGCAGGGCAGGCAAACCCCAAUUUCCUGGAAAGCAGGCCUGGGUAGGGCCACCCGGGGCUGGCAGAGUGAAGUCCUCGAGUCCUCUGCCAAGGGUGCUGUGUCUGGGCUGUGGUUGUCAUCUGCAUAUUUAGAAGGAAAGGCAGGGGUUAAAAUAUCCCUUUGUCUGCUGAGAGGGUCUGUGGUCUCUCCAUCCUUCCUUUGAUUUAAUAAGAAAGAUAAACACUGCACAGCGGGUGCUUCCGUGCCAGACAGGUGCUAAGCCCCCCGAAGACGCUGCCGUUCACCAGCUCACUCGUGUAAUUUCAGGUUUAAACAGCUCUUGGAAUAUAGGAAAGUCUGUGGAUCACAGUGGAGGCUUUUAUAUUUUAUUCUUCUCUCCAGAUCAGGCAGGCACCGGGAGCUGGCUGGCAGGUACCUCUGAGCACACUGGAUUAAUUCCCAGGGCGGCCGUCACAGCAGUGACGUUGGCACUGACCACCCACGGAGAGGACAGAAUUUAAAGAGGCUGAGUUUUUCAUCUCUCUCUGCUGUUUUCUCUCUGGUUUCCCUUUUACCAUUUUGACAAGUCCCACCAUACUCAGUUCCAGCCUGGGACACACACUUGUGGAUUGCUAACGGGUGGAAAGUUGCGCGUGCCAUGUUGUAUUGCUGACACCAAAGGCAAAAGCCCAGGUCCUGGCCCCAGGUUAGGCCCACACAUGCCUGGGCUGUCCCAUCUCGGGGACUCCCUGGUCAGAGCUGAAAGUCUUCGGGCUCUGUCUCCCUCGCUGGGGAGUGUGUCCAGCCCUGUCCUCCAGCACUGGGCCCUGCCUCCCCAGACACGGCCCCCAGGGCGGAGGGGACCACAGACAUUCUGAGGUGAACUCUCCUCCGUGUUGGAAAUAUGAAAAAUAAAAAGGGAAGGGCUGGGGGAAGAGAUGGGGCAUUGUUUACUUCCUCAAAAUUCCAUGUUAACGAGUUCCCACUGAAUUCUCUGGUUAAGCAGAGAACAGCUGUGCAGAGCGUGAGCUGUGAGCCCCAAGCUGGUCCUCCUGUGGGCCCCGCAGCGCUGGAGCUGACCUGUCACCAAGGGUCCCUUUGUAACUUCCUGUGACUGAUUCUUUAAUGGCAUCUAAUGAUGAUGCAAGGAAGCUGCCAGCUGGGAGUUUCGGCACCACUGAUUGCCCCCAUAAGGAGCCAGUGGGAUGGACACCAGCUCCUGCCCCUUGCCUGAAACAUCCCUGCAGACCCUCGGCCUGCACCGGUGCCCCACCGAAGGCCCCCACCUAUGGUUCUGCCCACACCCCAGGGUCUCUCCAGCUCACCACCACCCAGGGUCCUUCCAGCUCUCCUCCCCCAGGGUCCUUCCAGCUCUCCUCCCCCAGGGUCCUUCCAGCUCUCCUCCCCCAGGGUCCUUCCAGCUCUCCUCCCCCAGGGUCCUUCCAGCUCUCCUCCCCCAGGGUCCUUCCAGCUCUCCUCCUCCAGGGUCCUUCAAGCUCUCUCCCUCCAGGGUCCCUCCAGCUUUUCCUGCUCUAGAUUCCCUCCAGUUCUCCUCCCCCAGGGUCCCUCCCGCUCUCCCACUUAACCUCCCCGGGGUCCCUGCAGCUUUGGCUCCCGCCCCCAGGAUCCCUCCAGCUGGGUUUUCUCUUGCAUCCUGGGGCCUGGUGCUCUACCCCUCUCUGUCCACUUCCUGCCUCCAGGCUGUGUCCGAGCUCUGUGCACCUGACACCCACGUCUCCCCUCUUCAUCUGUCUAAAGCCUACCUGUGCUUUCACAGCACGUCUCAAAUAUCAUUUCAAAUGUCAAAUAACAGAAUGAUCUUUUAAAAAUAUAAAUCAGAUCAUGUCAUUUGUGCUUGAAACCUUUAAUGGUUUCUGAUUGCACAGUAAACCCAAGGCCCUUCUCUGGGGUCCAGGUCCCUGCCCACCUCAGUCCUUGUCCCCCUGUCCCCUUCACCACCAAGUUUAUCCCUGCCCUAGGGAUGUGGCACUUGCCAUAGCUUUGUAGGAAUGGCUUUCCCUGGUUCUGCAUGUGGCAAACUCUGUCUUGACACCCACGUCUCAGUUUAAAUAUCACAGAAUCUGCAGGAGAGCUUCUGUGCCCCCGGAUCUGAGGCAGCCCCUUCAGGAGCAGAAUUACAGCCCUAAAGACGUCCGUGCCCCAAUUGCUGGCACCUGUGAGUAUGUUAUGCUUUGUGGCAACAGGGGCUUUGCAGAAGGAAUGGAGGUUACAAAGUUUAAGGUUUCCUGGUUUACCUGUGGGGGCCCAGCAUAAUUACAAAUGUUCUUAGAUGUGGAAGGGAGAGGCGGGAGCAAGAAGCAGCGUGGGUCCACAUGAGAUGCAUGGACGGCUGUUGCUGGCUUUGGUUGUGGAGGAAGGGGCCGAGAGCUGAGGAAUGGGGUUCACAGGAGCAGGAAGCAUCCGUCAGCAAGGGAACCUCCGUCCUGCAGCUACAGGAGCUGAAUUCUGCCAACGACCCACACAAGCUGGAAACAGACACCCCCAGGGCCUCUAGAAGGAAGGCAGCUGGCAGACUGGGGCCCCCUAGAAAUGCUGCUGCCAUGUAAGAAGUGCCUUUUGCUUCCCGCCAUGAUUCUGAGUCCUCCCCAGCCAUGUGGAACCGUAAGUUCAGUUAAACCUCUUUUUCCUCCCAGUCUCAGGUAUGUCUUCAUCAGCAGCAUGAAAAUGGACUAAUACAUCAUGCUAGUCCCCAGUGUGUGGAACAGAGUCAGUGAGUGGAACAGAGUAGGUGCACACAUACACAUUAUUAUUUAUUGUUUAUUAAAAUAUAAAUUUAUUUAACAAAAUAUAUUAAUUCACAUAUAAAUUAUUAUGAUUUGUGAAACCUCUUUCUAACAUCUCAAAUAUAUUUACUAAUGAGAAAAAUCUUUUUUUAAAUUGUCAAAACCUGUGUCUCAACUUUUGGCUCAAAAACUGCAGUCCUGCUGUCUGCAGUGGCUUUGUGAGUUGCCUUAGGGAAGAACCAAGCAGGGAGGACAGACACUGCAGACCAGGCUGGGGUGAGGGUGUGGCUCUUGUCUCCUGGCCCCCACAUGUUCAAGAAGAAGGUGCUGGGGCCUCAUCUUGGCCCUUUGCCUCUUGCCUCUGCACUGUUUCCUUAGGAUGGAUCUGGGACAGAGCUAAUGGAGGCCCUUCUGGCGUGUCCUGAGGACUUUGGCUCAAUCUUGGUGAGUUUAGCUCCUCUGAGUUCUUCUUAAUGUUCUCCUUGGGGGCCAGUAGUUGCAGAUGGCUAGGAGAAGGUGGGGCAGCUCUGGUGCUCUCUGCACUGAGGAAGCACUCCUGCUGCCCUGUGCGUGCUUCUGUGGAUGCUGAGUGCAGUCUGGACAGGGUUGCCAGCCAGGGCUCCAGGUGUUCCCUUCCUGUAAGUGUGAUCAGGUCCUCCACCACAGGAAAUGCUCCCAGCCACCCACCUCCCACCCUCCACCCUCCACCCUCCGUCCUCCACCCUCCACUGCAGUUCUUCCCAGCUUCAUUUGCGGCUGCCCAGGGAAUAAUUCCAGGGAUAUAGUAAUGUCUGGUGUCUGGAUGGUCUCCAUGGGAUUAAAAAAGCAGCUGGUUUGGCAUUUCGGAGACAAAACAACCCUGCAGCAUGGAGUCAAACACUGCUUCUUCGCGGGAGAUGCGUCCUGUCAGGUGAACACCAGCAAAUCAAAAACCAAUUCAGCAGAGGGAUGAUUUUCGCCUUCCGGAAGAUGAAAUCACGAAAGCUCAGAGACAGCGCGCACUCUGUAGAAAGCCCAAAUCAAAUUAUUCUGCGGCCUGUGUAGAUUUCCUGUGCCUGGCACCCAGCUGCCUGCAUACAGGAAGUGCUCAUUACAGGCACAGCAGCAGAUGUCAGCCCCAAAGUGUCCAUUUUACUAGCUGGUGUUUCAGCAUCUGUCACGGGGAUCAACAAAGCACGACAGCCGUCAAUGUGCCUCCGUGUGGACUUUUGUGAUGCUGUAUUUUCUCUUGGGAGGGGCCCCUGAUUCUGGACAGAAUGCACUGGGUAAGUCUUUACGACUUCAUAGCCCCAGGCUCCUGGCCCAGGCAGGAUGAGGAAAGGAUGCUGCCCCAGGAUCGCCCGAAACGUUUGGUUUGUUUUGUGUGGCUGGACGUGGCCGAGUCCCUGCGGCCCCAGCAGCUCUCAGGCUUCCCUGCCCGGCUGCUGCCUCAGGGCUGCGCUGAGCUCAGGCCAGAGCAGCUUCCAGGGCCUCAUUUCAGUUGUUUUUAUCAUCUACGAGUUAUCCAGGGUUUCCAAUAAAUCACAUUCCAGGGCAAGCAGCGCAGAGAUGUGGGCCCUUAUUUCCUCUCCCAGGCUGAUAACAAUGAACAAGUGAUUUCCUGUCCAAAGCUGGGUACUCCAGCGAAAUGAGAAGUCCUAUCUCCAGGAAAAUAACACUGUCUCUCUCUCAGCCCCAACUCCAGCACACCAAGCAUGGACCGUCUCUGGCCCUUGGGCAAGCUGGAGCAGCCUUUCAUUUCCUCUCUGCCUAUUCAUGCACGCCCCACCCAUCUCCCAGUCCAGGCUGUGAUCCUCACCACCCAGCAAGCAGGCGAGGCAGGGCUAGGAACCCAUUUUACAGGUGAGAAAAGUGAGUUUGCCAGACAUUAAGUAACAUGGCCAGGGUCUCACCGGCAGUAAGUGGACAGGGCCAGGCCAGGUCGUCUCUGUGUUCCUAGGAGACCCCGUGAUGACCACUCAGCCCCCUCUGCUGCUGCUGGUUGAGGUGAGAGGUGCUUAUAACUCAGAGAUCUUUGUCAUUUGGGUUCUAAAAGCAAACUCCACCUUGUGACGCGCACCCCAAUCCGCCAGCAGCUUCAGAAGCAGCAUCUACCUGUAAGCUGCGCAGUCUCCCUCUCCCAUCUCAACAGCCUUCCUGUGUGCGGCUUCCCUCUCGGAUCUGCACAACCCCCUUGUUGAGAAGAGGCAGCAGGAGCAGUGUGGGCGGUCAUUGCCCUAUUUUACAGAUGAAGAGUCAGGGCAUUUAAACAAUUUGGUCUGGAUCUAUACAUAAGAGGAUGGAAGAGACCAGAGGAGACCUAGGCCUACUUAUCUAAAACCCAGUCACUGACGCUGGGACACAGAACUGUCCUUCCUCGUCUGCCCCCUGCCUGCUCAUGCUGUGUUGGUGGAGACCUUGUCUCUCUUGGUGCCGUGGGAACAGCGCUGGGCCCACCCAUCAAGGGCUCCCUGGAAGCGUGCUGAGCGUGUGGCAUGAGGAAAGAGUCACCAGCCACCCACGUUGCCUCCACACCGGGUGUCACUGUGACCUUAGCAGACAACAGGGUCCUCCCGAGGAGAGAACACAAUAGGCACACUGGAUGGGGGGAGAGGGUCCAAAAGCCCCAAGCAGGGGGCAGGUCUGGGCAGAGGAGAAGGUGCUGUGUCUGUGGUGGCACUGGAUGCCUUGGAAGGUGUGUGGCCUCCCUCCACGGCUGCCCAGGACCCAGGGUGCUGACCGUCUCUCCUGGAGUACGGCAGGGCCCAGGGGGCUGAGGCAGGGCCCAGGGGGCUGAGGCAGGGCCCCUUUUGGCAAAUUCUUCACUCAUAGAGGUUUCGUGUCUUUCUCUGUAAAAUGAGGAUGCGAACAUAGUUUGUCUUGCAGGAUAGCUGUGAUUAGAACAUGUGUGUAAAGCGCCUGUCAUGGCAGCGUCCUUCUCCUGGCGGCAAGUCUUCACUUGCAAAACAAGUCCUUUUAGAAACAGGCUUUGUGACAGCUGCUGCUAUCCAGUCAUCUUUAGAGCCCUGGAGUCCUCGCCAAGGGCACGGGCUCCCUUUGUGGUCCUGGAAUAAUGGGGCCUGCCCGGCACUCUCAGAUUGCAUGGGGAUCUGCUUGACUUAGGGUAAGGCUUUUGUGGGAUAAACUGCAGUGGCGCUAGAUCAAUUGUCAAGGUUUGGCCGACUCAUUUGAGAGACUGGGUUCAUGCCGUGCCAUUUCUUCUUCCCGUUGCAAGGCUCUGCAAGGAAUGUGGUGUCAGAAUUUUAGUGCCUCGUAUUUCCCACAAAUGAUAGCAGUAAGCUAACCGUGCGAUAGAGACAGCGCUUCAUGUUGUGCAAUUUGAGUUGCUGAGAUCCCCAGCUCUUGCGUCUUUGAAGCGGCGGCUCUGUGCAGAGGUGAGAUGGUGUUCCCAGCUCAUCGCAGCGUGCGCGGUAAUCUUAUGUUCAGGCACACACUCUUUUUGGAGAAAACAUACAUUCUUUAGUAUUCAUGUGGAUUUCACAGCAGUAAUGAGGAAACUCUAUUCCUUAGAGAAUGUUUUUAAUGUUAAAAAAAAAAAGGAUGACAUUCUUGGGAGGCAUUUUAGUUUUCCCGUUUUUAUUUUCUGACGGUUUUCAUAGACUAAAGACUGAGAAUGCAGGAAUACCUUAUCUUAUUCCAGAAAUUAUUUUUACCCAGACCUGUUGAUUUUCCCCUUAAAUUUGUAUAGAUGUUACACUCUAUCAUAUUUAGCUUAAACAUAGACUGAGCUCUCCUGGCUGUGUUACGAGGGCAACUGACUCUAGGAAUUGCUGCUUUUCUUCAUUUCCCAGAGCUCUGUGUUUCCCCAUCCCCGAAUCUCCCCACACCCCGUCAUAUUCAAAACACGUCACUGCUGCAAGAUCACGUAUUUUAUCUGCUCUCUAUUAUUAUUUAGUAAUUCUAUUUUGUAAGUGAACCUGGUUUUCCAUCAGGGUGUGUAGUGCGAGCAUGAAUGGAGCCGAUUUAUUGUCCUCCCAAUUAACUAAUUUUUCUAACCCAACUUAUUUGUUUUCUUUAAUACAUUCUUCUAUAGAACUUAAUAUGUGCAGGCCUUCUUUUUAGGGCUUUUCAUCUAUUAACUUAUAUAAUCCUCACAACCACCCAGUAAGAGAGAUAUUAUUAUUUUUAUUUGACUGGCGAAGAAAUGUAAAGCAAAGCCAAGUUAAGGAACUUGCUCAGGGUCACACAGCCGCUCGAUGACGGAAACAGGGCUCCCUCUGGACGGCCUGGCUGUGAGACCCGGGCUCUGGGUCUCUGCUCGGCCUCCCGCAGGUGUGAGUGCCAAACAGUGUCAAGGCUGAUCUUCCUAUCUGCAGCUUCCACACCUGCAAUUCAAUCGCCAUAGAUGGAAAAUAUUCAGGAAAAAAAAAACAGCACAACAAAAACUAAUACAAAUAAAACCGCUACACUCUAAUGACAACUAUUGACGUGGGAUUUGCGUUGUAUUAGCUAUUACAGGUAAUCUGGAGAUGACUUGAAGUAUAUGAGAGGAUGUGUGUAGGCUUCAUGCAAAUACAGCACCGUUUUAUAUCAGGACUUGAGCAUUCUCAGAUUUUGGUACUGCAGGGAGUCCUGAAACCAGUCCCUCGUGGGGAUCCAGGGAUGACUGUCUAGGCUGACUGCUGGUAUACACUGGGCAUGUUUCUGGGUCUCUGUUCUAGUCUAGUGAUCACUGUGUGUAUUUUUGCCCUAGUACUUCACCCAUUUACUUAUUGCCACUUUAUUUCAGCCUGACGUAUCCUAUAUGCAUCCAUGUUAUUGUUUUUUAAAAAUUUCCUUGCUUUUUUUUUUUUUUUGCUUUUCAUUCUUCUAGACAACAUUUAUAAUCAAUUUUGCUUACAAAAUUCUAUUGGAAGUUUGAGUUGCAUCAAAUUCAUAAAUUAGUUUAGCAAAAAUGUACAUCUUCUUAGCAUUUCUUUUUAGAUAUGGAAUAUACUGUAUUUCUCCAUUUGUUCAAAUAUUUUCUAUGGUGCUCUCUUGGGCUUAUGGAUUUAAUUAUUUGUGCCUGACAGACUUCUUGCAAGAUUAAUUUCCAGGUACUCAGUUUUAAAAUUGUGAAUAGAAUUCUUUUCCCAUUGUUUCUCUAACUGUUAAUGCUGAUAUGUAGGAAAACGACUGCUUUUUAUGUUCCUAUUACAAUUUUUUAAAAUAUUAGUAUAAUUCUACAUUAUUUUCUUUUUCUCAGGUAGGCAAUAAUAUCAAAUUUGAAUAAUGUCAAAAUUUCACCUUCCUUUUCAAAAAUUAUGUGUGAAUGUGUGUGUGUGUAUGUGAGUGUGUGUAUUUUAUAUAUAGAGAGAGAGAGUUUUCCCUCCUUUUAUUUUGUUGUGGAUCUGAGGGCAUGCUGGCCACAGUAAGCAGCCUUGUCUUUUCCAUUGUUUCAGUGAGAAUGCUACCAGAUUUACUGUUAGGUAUUUAUUGUUAGGUAGGUAUUGGCUACUGGCGUUGAGUAGGUGUUUUUAAUCAUGUUAAAGAAGCAUUUUUCUUUCCUAGUUUAUUAUAAGUUUUAGCAAAUGUCUUUUUACCAUCUAUUGACAUAAAUAUAGUCCUUUUUUCUCUUUAUUUCACAUAUCAUUUUUGCAUCUGUAUUCAUAAAAGACAUCUGUGUCUAGUUCCCUUUUUAGUCUGUCUUUGCUUGUGUCUCUAGGACAUUCUGGCUUUGGGAAAUGAAUUAUUGGGAAACAUGCCACCUUUUUGUGUUCUCUGGAAACACUUAUCUAGCAUGGAAAUCAUCUGUUCCAUGACAGUCUGAAAACCCAGCCUGUGAAAAUGUCUGUGGCUGGAAACUUGUGAGAAAUAAUUCUUCAACAACAUUUUCAAUUUCAUACAUGGCUUUUCAUUUAUUGCUUAUUGAUUCAAUUACGGUGACUCUUUUUUCUUAGACAAGAAAAGAACACACAUUGUUUAAAUAUCAACAUCAAGAAUGAAACAUACUGAUUUUUCUUAUAUAAAUUGAGUUGAUUGGCACACUUAUUUUCUUUUACUUUUCCUUCUAGCUCCUGUGUAUCUUUUUUCUCUUAUACUGUCACCGGGCUGUCUUUUACAUGAAAUGUUUUCAUUUUUGAGAAUUACGUGUGACAGAUGAAUGUAAUUUAUAACAAUUAUUUAGAGUUGUUUGAGUAAACAAUUUUGAUUCCCUUUGUCAAAUUUUUAUGUCGUGACUUUUCCAUCUUUGAAAGAUUAAAAAAAAUCUUUUUGUUGAUGGCCUAGAGCACAUUUCUGAGGAAAGAUGUGGAUAUCAGUUCUGCAACCUUAGCUGGGUAUGGAAUUUUGGAGUCAGAAACUUUCCUUUUAACUUUGAAGUAGUUGCUUCACUAUUUUCUAAUCUUUAAAGUUGUGUAAGAAAAAUUGAGUCCAGGCUGUUACUUAUUUCUUAAAGGAAAACGAUUUUUGCUAUUUUAUUGUUAACUCUAUGUUUAACAUGUUGAUAAACUGCUAAAAUGUUUUUAAAAAUGCAUACACAAUUUUACAUUUCCACCAGGAAUGCAUGAUGGUUGAAUUUCUCCACAUCCUCGUCAAUGCUUGUUAUUGUCUGUAGUUUUUACUUUAGCCAUCUUAUUUGGAUGUGAAGUGGUGUCUCAUUGUGGUUUUGAUUUGCGUUUCUUGAUGACUAAUAUGUUGAUCAUCUUUUCAUAUACUUAUUGGCCCUGUGUAUAUCUUCUUUGGACAGAUGUGUAUUAAAUUCCUUUGCCCAGUUUUUUGGUUGUCUUUUCACUAUUGAGUUAAGAAUUUCUUAUGUAUUCUGGAUACUAGAUCUUUGUUAGAUAUGUAAUCUGCAAAUCUUUUCAACUUUGCUUUUUAGAGUCAGGGCAUCACUCUGUCAUCCAGGCUGGAGUGAAAGCGGUGUGAUUAUAGUUUACUGCAACUUUGAACUCCUGGGCUCAAGCAAUCCUCCUGCCUCAGCCUCCUGAGUAGCUAGGACCACAGGCACACACUACCAUGCCUGGCUAAUUCUUUUUAAUUUUUAGUAGAGAAAAGGUCUCACUAUAUUGCCCAGGCUGGUUUCAAACUCCUGGGCUCAAGCAAUCCUCCUGCUUCGGCCUCUUGAGUAGCUAGGACUACAGGUGUGCAUCAACACACCUGGUUAAUUUUUUUCUCUUGAGAGACAGGGUUUUACUAUGUUGCCCAGAAUGUUCUCAAACUUUCCCUCAAACAAGCCUCCUGCCUUGGCCUCCCAAAGUCCUGGGAUUAUAGGCAUGAGCCACCACCAAUUUCUUGAUAGUGUCUUUGAAGCACAAGAGUUUUUAAUAAAGUUCAGUUUAUCUAUCUUUUUUCUGUUGUCACUUAUACUUUUGGUAUCAUAUCUAGGAAACAAUUACCCAAUACAAGGUCAUAAAAAUUUACUCCUAUGUUUUCUACUAGGAAUUUUAUAGUUUUAGCUCUUACAUUUAUUUCUAUGAUCCAUGUGGAGUUAAUUUUUGUACCUGAUGUAAGGUAGGAAUAUGCAUUUAUUCUUUGCAUGUGGAUAUCCAGGCUUGAAAAUACUAUUCUUUCUCCAUUGGAUUGUCUUGGUGCCGUUGUUGAAUAUCAACUGACCAUAGGUGUAAGGAUUUAUUUCUGGAUUCUUAAUUCUAUUCCAUCGAACCAUAUGUCUACACGUAGGUCAGUACCUCACUGUAUUGAUUACUAUAGCUUUGAAUUAAGUUUUGAAAUUGGGAAGAGUGAGUCCUCAAACUUUGUUCUUUUUCAAGAUUUCAGAUAAAAAAUACAAUAUUUACAGAAUGCAAAACUGAUGUAUAUGGAGGGCUGACUUUUUGAAUAAGCAGAUUCUGCCAGGUCAACCACUGGACUUGAGUAUGCACAGAUUUUGGCACAUGUGGGGUCCUGGACCCAAUUCCCUACAUAUACCAAGGGACAACUGAACUUUUUUUUUUAAAUCUUUUUACUUUCAACCUAUUUGUGUCUUUAAAUCUAAAGUGUCUCUUGUAGACAGCGUAUAGUUUGAUCAUGUUUUUAAACUCCUUCUGUCAGUCUUUGCCUUUGAAUUCAUUUGUUUCAUCCAUUUACAUUUAAUGUAGCUAUUCAUAAGCUAGGAUUUACAGCUGCCACUUAGCUAUUUUCUGUAUCUUAUGUCUCUUUUGUUUACCUAUUCAUCCAUUAUUGCCUUCUUUUGUGUUAAGUGGAUAUUUUGUAGUUACCAUUUAAAUAUCCUUGUUUCUUUUACUACAUUUUUUUCAAGUUGUCAUCUUAUUGGUUGAUAUGGUAAUUAAAAUUAACAUCUUAACUUAUAAUUAUCUAAUUAAUAUUAAUACCAAUUAAUUUCAAUACUAAAUAAAACCUUUGUUCCUACAUAGCCCCAUUCCAUCUCCCUUUCAUUGUGCUAUUAUUUCAUACAAAUUACAUGCUUAUAAAUAUAAGCCUGUAAACAUAGUUUUAUAAUUAUUACUUUAUUCAGUAGUCAUUCAUACUAGAUUAAAGUUACAAACAGAAAAAUACUCAUUCUUUUAAAUUUUUACCAAAGUGGUUAUCUUUACUUUUUUAUUUCUUCAUGCGAUUUCAUUUACUGUCUGGUAUCCUUUUACAUCAGCCUGAAGGACUUCCUCUACUUAAUUCAUGUAAGGAAUGUCUGAUAGCAAUGAAUUACCUCCAUUUUUCUUUACCUGGGAAUAUCUUUAUUUUUCCUUCGUUUUUCCACAUUAAAAAAUGUUUGCUGGGUAAACAUUUUAUUUUGGAAUUUUAAACAUACCCAAAAAGAAUUUUAUUACUAAGUCUUAAAAAAAUAACAUCCACAUUUUCUUGAGUUUUGUUGAGUUUGAAACAGAUGCUGCCUGAAAAUUACUUGUAUUUUCUACAGAAAUGCUGUGUGCUCAUUGCUUCUCUUUCUCUUAUAUGGCCAUAAAGUUUGCAGGUAUUUGCGUUAGUUAACUCAUUGCAGUAAGCUGUAUUACUACACAUCCAUUUCCAGUGUCCUUUCUGGGAGAGGAUUAUAUCUCCCUGCCCCUAAAGUCAGUCUUGUCCCUGUGAAUUGGUCAAGAAAGUUUGAACAGAACUAAUAGGUGUCAUUUCUGGGUGGACACUGUAAAAGCCGACCUGAGCUUCACCAUGCUGUUUGUCCCUUGUCAUUCAUCUGCCCAUGCUGUAGAUAGUGGCUUGGGUCCCAGAGUGAGGAUGAAAGUGACACUGAGUGGAGCUCCCAGGUAACCUGCAUGGGGAGGAGAAAUGGACCUUCAUUGUUGCAACUUUUUUUAAACAUAAUUUUUAAUAGAAAAUCGUUUCCAAAUGUUUCAAAAAUUAAGAAUAAAAAUAUGCUAAAAAGUAUGCAGUCUCCUUCAGUCUUUAUCUCCAUCUUCUCAGCGCCGUCUCAUCCCAUGCCUAGGAACCGUGAUCAUUAAUUAUUUAAUGUAUAUUUCCAGAGGGUGUUUACGUGUCUAUGGCAAAUAUGCCACCCACAUGCUCACACACAGAUCUUCACCUAUUGUUAAUUGACAGAUGCACCAUCCCACUGUGCUGCAUAUGGCUUCUUAAAUUUAAUAUACCUUGAAGAUCUGUAUAUAUUAAUAUUUUUAUUUAUUUUACAGUUAUCUAGCAUUUCAUUUAUGGUUGUGUAAUCAUUUAUUCAUGAAAGUGUUGGCCAGGUGCAGAGGCUCACGCCUGUAAUCCCAGCACUUUGGGAAGCUGAGGCGGGUGGAUCGCUUGAGGCCAGGAGUUCGAGACCAGCCUGGCUGACAUGGUGAAACCUUGUCUCUACUAAAAAUACAAAAAUUAGCUGGGCGUGGUGGUGCAUGCCUGUAGUCCCAGCUACUCAGGAGGCUGAGGUGGGACAACUGCUUGAACCCAUGAGGCAGAGGUUGCAGUGAGCUGAGAUCGCGCCACUCCACUCCACCCUGGGCAACAGAGCAAGACACUGUCUCAAAAAAAAAAAAAAAAAAAAAGGCAAAGAAAAUGUUAUUCUUGAAAUCUUGAAAUUUCACCACAAGAGCAUGUUAAGAAUAGAUGCUCUUCUUUUCAUCCUUUCAGGCACUUUGGAGACUCUCUCAAUCUCAUGUUUCAUGCUUUUUUUCCAACUCCUGAAAAUUUUAUCUCAUUACUUAAAAAAUAUUUCAUCAGCUCCUGUCUUGGUUUUCUCUUCUAUGCAACUCUUAUUACAAAAUACUCUGGAUUGAUUCAUUGUCUUGAAUUUUUCCUCAUAUGUUAUCUUUAUCUUUUUCUUAUGUUUUGAAUUUUUCCUGAGCUCUGUCUUCUAGAAAAUCAAUUAAAUCUUCAGCAACAUAAUCUUUUGUUUUUAAGUUUUUCAGAUCUUCUGCCUCUGUCUCUGGGUGCUAACCCCCUGGUGGGAGAUUCCUGUCUUCCUGUGUGCUUGGUUUUAUUUCUGUAGCUCUUUGGCUUGAUCCUGGAGGCGGCCCUACUGCUGCGAGUGACUGCAGGUGGGAAGGAGUGGUUUUGGGAUUGCAGACAUUCCUUCAAUUAACCAGCCAGAUUUCAGCCUCAUGGUCCCACAGCUCAACCUGCUUGCUGGAGCCCUGUGCCCUGGCGGAAGAGGGGCUUCCACCCUCACCGUUCAGCUGCAGCCAAUGAUCAUCUGCCACAGCCUGCCUGUCCUGUGAUCCCGCCUACGUUCCGUCUUCUGGAAAGCCACCUGACUGGUCUGCUUAAGGCUCCCGUGCUCGCUGCUUUGCUCUGUGUGGAUUAAUGUACUUUGGUGAAUUCUUAUUGUCAUGCCAUAAAAUUUAGAAAGAAAACUAGGAAAAUCCAUCUGCUAAUUCUACUAUUUUGAAAGGAGAACUCAGUGGGGAAGGGUUAUUGGCAGAGACAGAGGGAAACAGGCAUUUGGACAACAGGGAAUUGCCUGGACUUUGAUGGGAACAGGGAGCUUGCUCGGACUUCAGGGCUGGUGGCUGCUCACUCAUCAGAAUGACCCUUCCUCUUGGGGGAGGGAAGUCGUCAGAGGGCCCUGCAGGUUGGGGUGGAGAGGACCCAAACGCAGGUUCUACCCUGGCCUGGAUCAGAGCCUGUCACCUCUAAUGGCUAACGUUGUCUCUUUAGUACCCUUUACCCAACUCCACAUGAUGGCUAACAUUGUCUCUUUAAUAUCCUUUACCCAACUCCACAUUAUGAAGAUUCUGCCUAGAGAAGAAGUGGUUGUUCUGCUUACCUGGUAACAUGUGUACCCAGAUCCACGCUAUCAUGGGCCCUCACAGCUUCCCCUGGAUAUAUGGCAGGAGGAACGUGCUGCUCAUUCUUGAAAUUCACUUCCCCAGAAGACACGGCAACCAUGAACACUGGAUCAGAGGUGGGGAAGCUGCCUGGCUUCCACUGGGCCCCACCCAUCCACCCAUCUUGGCCUCCCCAUUCUCUCUGUCCAUGGGUGGUGACAAGCUUUGCCUUGACCUGAGCCCACAUACCUAGGUUUGCACCUUCUCUGGAGUGAAAGAGGAGGUGAGUUAUUUUAAUCUUGAAGAUCCCAGGUCAGAACAUCAGUUUUCUAGUCCAAGCGCUGCCUCACCGUCUUCAUUUAUAAAAUGAGAGAGGGGAUGCACUGUUCCCCAAAUCUGAGACCCAGGGUGUACAUGAUUGGAGCCAAGUCUCACAGCGGGGGAGGAGUGGCUCUGGCACUUGAGUUCAGUUUGUCUGGCUCCAAAUCUGUAGGGAGUGGGGGUCUCCCUUAGAUAAGUAGGUUAAGAUCCUUUUGUGGUUCAUAAGCAUGAUGAUUGGGUUUUCAUGCUCAUGUGUGAGAUAUGCCUCUCUCAAGCCUUGUUAUGACAUCACAUUACCUGUCUGAUGUUACAAAAAAAAAAAAAAGAGAA